rnacentral:rRNA from 1 species
GACGAACGCUGGUGGCGUGCUUAACACAUGCAAGUCGAACGGAAAGGCCCUGCUUUUGUGGGGUGCUCGAGUGGCGAACGGGUGAGUAACACGUGAGUAACCUGCCCUUGACUUUGGGAUAACUUCAGGAAACUGGGGCUAAUACCGGAUAGGAGCUCCUGCUGCAUGGUGGGGGUUGGAAAGUUUCGGCGGUUGGGGAUGGACUCGCGGCUUAUCAGCUUGUUGGUGGGGUAGUGGCUUACCAAGGCUUUGACGGGUAGCCGGCCUGAGAGGGUGACCGGCCACAUUGGGACUGAGAUACGGCCCAGACUCCCACGGGAGGCAGCAGUGGGGAAUAUUGCACAAUGGGCGGAAGCCUGAUGCAGCAACGCCGCGUGCGGGAUGACGGCCUUCGGGUUGUAAACCGCUUUCGCCUGUGACGAAGCGUGAGUGACGGUAAUGGGUAAAGAAGCACCGGCUAACUACGUGCCAGCAGCCGCGGUGAUACGUAGGGUGCGAGCGUUGUCCGGAUUUAUUGGGCGUAAAGGGCUCGUAGGUGGUUGAUCGCGUCGGAAGUGUAAUCUUGGGGCUUAACCCUGAGCGUGCUUUCGAUACGGGUUGACUUGAGGAAGGUAGGGGAGAAUGGAAUUCCUGGUGGAGCGGUGGAAUGCGCAGAUAUCAGGAGGAACACCAGUGGCGAAGGCGGUUCUCUGGGCCUUUCCUGACGCUGAGGAGCGAAAGCGUGGGGAGCGAACAGGCUUAGAUACCCUGGUAGUCCACGCUGUAAACGGUGGGUACUAGGUGUGGGGUCCAUUCCACGGGUUCCGUGCCGUAGCUAACGCUUUAAGUACCCCGCCUGGGGAGUACGGCCGCAAGGCUAAAACUCAAAGGAAUUGACGGGGCCCCGCACAAGCGGCGGAGCAUGCGGAUUAAUUCGAUGCAACGCGUAGAACCUUACCUGGGUUUGACAUGGAUCGGGAGUGCUCAGAGAUGGGUGUGCCUCUUUUGGGGUCGGUUCACAGGUGGUGCAUGGCUGUCGUCAGCUCGUGUCGUGAGAUGUUGGGUUAAGUCCCGCAACGAGCGCAACCCUUGUUCACUGUUGCCAGCACGUUAUGGUGGGGACUCAGUGGAGACCGCCGGGGUCAACUCGGAGGAAGGUGGGGAUGACGUCAAGUCAUCAUGCCCCUUAUGUCCAGGGCUUCACGCAUGCUACAAUGGCUGGUACAGAGAGUGGCGAGCCUGUGAGGGUGAGCGAAUCUCGGAAAGCCGGUCUCAGUUCGGAUUGGGGUCUGCAACUCGACCUCAUGAAGUCGGAGUCGCUAGUAAUCGCAGAUCAGCAACGCUGCGGUGAAUACGUUCCCGGG